ACUACGGGUGACAGCAGUGAGGAAUAUUGGUCAAUGGACGAGAGUCUGAACCAGCCAAGUAGCGUGAAGGAUGAUUGCCCUAUGGGUUGUAAACUUCUUUUAUAUGGGAAUAAAACGUUCCACGUGUGGGAUUUUGUAUGUACCAUAUGAAUAAGGAUCGGCUAACUCCGUGCCAGCAGCCGCGGUAAUACGGAGGAUCCGAGCGUUAUACGGAGUUAGUGGGUUUAAAGGGAGCGUAGGUGGAUUGUUAAGUCAGUUGUGAAAGUUUGCGGCUCAAACGUAAAAUUGCAGUUGAAACUGGCAGUCUUGAGUACAGUAGAGGUGGGCGGAAUUCGUGGUGUAGCUGUGAAAUGCUUAGAUAUCACGAAGAACUCCGAUUGCGAAGGCAGUUCACUGGACUGCAACUGACACUGAGGCUCGAAAGUGUGGGUAUCAAACAGGAUUAGAUACCCGAGUAGUC
rnacentral:rRNA from 1 species